GUCCCUAACCCUUCUCUUAUCACAAACCCUAACACCGACGUCUCUCCACCGCAAACUGCAGGCCAGAAAUCGCCUCCGUCGGUGGCGAUCACCCAAAGGCCACCAAAUUUACACCACUUGACCGCCUUCCCCUCCUCUAUCCAAAUCCAUGCAUGGUUUCCCUCGAAUCACCUCCCAUCGUCUUGAAUAUUAGCAAGAAGAUUUGACUCCGCCACCAUGCACGGCGUCACCGCUUCCUUUCAACCCCAAAAUUACACUGUUGAACCCUCUAUUCUUCCUCAUGCCAAAUCCACACUCAACACCCUUCAAACACCCCUAAAUCUUCUGGAAUGUUAAUUCAAAAGGGUCUGCCAAACCUCACCACCCCUAAAAUUGUCCAAAACCCACACCUUAUAACCCUUACCACCCCCUCUCCACUGGUCAGUGGUUAUUUGUUCUCAAAAAAGCCCAAAGCUGGUCGAAUUCUAGGGUUCGAGACUCAGAUCCUGCUACAUGCCUUUGAUAAGCUAAGUUCUCUGUUUAUUUUCUAAUAUCUCUUUUCCUCAUCUCAUUUCUGUCGAUUUGGUUAACUUCACGGCCAGACUAGGUUUAGUUUAAUCUAAUUAAAUUGCAUUAGUCAUUUUACUCUAAUUGUUUUGAAGGUCAUCAGUUCAAUUAUGUUUAAUCUUCAUGAUUUCAGUCAAGUUAUUGAGUCUUGCUUGAAUUCCAUUUCUUUUAAUUCCUGAGUUUGGUUGAGUUGUAGUAGGUCUUUUGUUGAGUUGGAUUUCAUGAUUAAGUUCCAGAGUUUGAAUUAGGUUUUGUGCAUAUUAGUCAAAUGGUGUCAGUCUUAUUUGGAUAAUAACUGAGUUGAAUAUUCAAUUUGUGUUAAUUGAAUUUUACUCGUUCAAUCAGUUCGGAUUGUAUUGAUCUCAUCUGUUGCAUGACUUCUAUGUGUAAUUCUUGGGUUUAAAUGAGGUCCAGUAAUUUACUAUUAGGUUUGUUAAUUAUCCAUUAGGUAAUCCUACAGUUUUGAUUUUCUGCAUAGUUUUAAGAAAUAUUUGAUCUGUUUGGAAUUAAGGGUAGUUAGGGUAUUUGAUUAAGGGCAACUGAAAAGGAAGCCUCUAGUAGGGGCUUCAUUUUAAUUUUGAUGUAAACGCUUGGUCCAUAAGUCGAAAAAUAGAGGACUCAAUUGCAAUUUUAAAAUCUAUAGGUUGCCCUACUUGCCUUGUAUAUAAAGGCACCAUUCUUGCCUUAGAAGGCAGAGAUAUUUUAAUAAUAAAAAGCUCAUAAAAACUCAUACGGCUAAAAAGACUCGAAAAAGUCCUAAAAAAAAAACACAUUGUUUCAUUGCUUUCUCUUUUGAUUUUGGAGUUCAACCCGAUUCAAAGCUGGUUUUCCCUGUUGUUCCUGAGCUGAUUUUAUUACUGCCUCUGUUCUACUGCUAGAUCAUCAAUUUCUGUUCGUUUUCAAAUCCAGGUACAUAUUUCAUCUCCCAAUGUAUGAUGAUAGAUGAACAUGAAGAUUGACCUAUUCAAGUAGAAAUUGGUGGCUGAGCAAGGGUUUAAACAAUGUAUUUGUACCUUUGAGCUAGUUGAUUUGUGUAUUCAAUUUGGUUUUCGAUAUGUCUAGACACUGAGUUUUUAUACCUGAUGUUUGAUCCCUUAUGAUGUCUUGAAAAUGCUGAGUAAUAGGUUAGUAUAGAUAUUGGGUGUUAAGGACAUGAAUGCUAUUUGGAUAUUGGACCCUCUGUGUGUUGCUGCUAUAGUAGAUGUUGAACUCCAUUUACCAUUUUCAGAUUUUUAUUUGUAAUUCACUAUCUAUUAGGUAUGUAGACUUCAUUUUGAUAUGAAUUUGGAACAAACUCU
rnacentral:lncRNA from 1 species